UCCCUGAUGGCUCAGAUGGUAAAGAAUCUGCCUGCAAUGCAGGAGACCCAGGUUUGAUCCCUGGGUUGGGAA
rnacentral:tRNA from 1 species